AUGGCCUCCUCAGCGACUGCGGGUCGGCACGUCGUCGCGGUGCCGUACCCGGGCAGCGGCCACAUCAACCCCAUGCUCGCCGUGUGCCGCCUGCUCGUCGCCGCGGACGGCGCCCUCACCGUCAUCGUCGUCGUCACGGAGGAGUGGCACGCGCUGCUGGCCUCCGCGCCCACGCUGCCAGACCGCGUCCGCUUCGCCACCAUCCCCAACGACGUCAUCCCCCCCGAGCGCAGCCGUGGGGUCGACCACGCCGCCUUCUUCGAGGCCGUGAGCAACAAGAUGGCGGACGCCGUCGCGCAGCUGCUCGACCGGCUAGUGCUGGAGCUGGAGCCGAGGCCGGAGGCUAUCCUUGUCGACACCUACCUGACCUGGGGGGUUGCGGUCGGCGCGCGGCGCUGCAUACCGGUGUGCUCGCUGUGGACCCAGCCGGCCACCUUCUUCUUGGCGCUCUACCACCUGGACCUGUGGCCGUCGGGUGACGAUGACCAUGAACACGAUGAAGAAUUAAGCGCCAAGUCCAUGGAUCAGUAUGUCCCGUGCCUCUCAUCAGUAAGAAUGUCUGAUCUCAUGGUCUUCAGCCGAUGGAAGCGGCACAUGAAGAUAACAGCGGAGGCGUUCGUGAACGUACGAAAAGCGCAGUGUCUCCUCCUCACCUCCUUCCACGAGCUUGAACCCUGCGCCAUCAACACAACGGCUGAGUUACUUACGUUCCCCAUAUAUCCGAUCGGCCCUGCACACAUGCCGCCGGACGGGAACGCGGGCAGGAUCCAGGACGAGGAGCACCAUGACUGGCUGGACGCGCAGCCAGAGAAGUCGGUGAUGUACGUCUCGUUCGGCAGCUACGCUUCCAUGCCGCACUCGCAGUUCGAAGAGAUCGCCAUGGGGCUGCUUGACGCUGGAGUCAAGUUCUUCUGGGUGGCACGGGACAAGGCCCCUGAGCUGCGGGGGAUGUGCGGCGACAGGGGGCUGGCGGUGCCGUGGUGCGACCAGCAGAGGGUGCUGUGCCACCGGUCCGUCGGCGGCUUCCUCAGCCACUGCGGGUGGAACUCGGUGCUCGAGGCCGUGUGGGCCGGAGUGCCCGUGCUUGCCUUCCCUGUUGCGUGGGACCAGCUGGUGAACGCCCGGAUGGUCGGCGACGAAUGGAAGGUCGGCAUCGACCUGAGGGAACAGAGGGGGGAGGAUGGGAUUGUGAGCAGGGCCGCCAUCUCUGAUGCCGCGAGGAAGCUGAUGGAUUCGGAUUCUGGUGUUGGCCAAGAGAUGAGGAAAAGAGCCGCGCAGCUGCGCGAGGUUUCCCGUAGCGCGGUCGGGGAAGGAGGCUCGUCGCAUAGUUCGUUGAGCGGUUUCCUCAAGGAUCUCGCCGAGGGAAGAUUGGAGGUGGCUGAAAGUUCUCAGUGA
rnacentral:rRNA from 1 species